rnacentral:tRNA from 1 species
GGGACGGUAGCUCAGUCGGUAGAGCAGAGGACUGAAAAUCCUCGUGUCGGCGGUUCGAUUCCGCCCCGUCCCA